UUCAGUUUCUGUUCUCAAGUUCUGUUUUGUUUUAGUCCUUGGUUCGCCCUGCAUCUGCCUCCAUUCUCAACAUUACACGUUAUAGCUUGUUAAAAUCCUAGCAUAUUUAUCUUGACAUUUUAUACAUGUUGUGAUGGUAAAGAAAUAUGAUUUUCUUUAACCCUUCACACUGAAGUCCUGUGCCAACCAAUGAAAACUAUCAGUUGGGAACCCCUAGUCUACCACACAGAACUAACAUCAUCGUUUUAUUCCAUAGGUCCUAGUGCAGACUUCAACAAGAGACCAAGGAGAAGAAGUUAAAGAUGGAGGUAUCAGCAGUCAAGCUUGAGUUGAAGUUAGAAAGAGAAGCAAACAGUAGGCAUGAAGAAGAAAAAGAAAAGCUAAAGGGAAAAUAUAGAGUUAAGAAGACAUUGAAGGAAUCUGAAGAGAAGAUAAAGGAGAAGGACUCAACUCUGGAGGAGAUGAAGAAGACAUUGAAUCUGAAGAGAAGAUAAAAGAGAAGGGCUCAACUCUGGGGGAGAUGAAGAAGACAGAAGAGAAGCAUCUAAAGGAAAAAGACAGAAAAGUAAACUUGCUCAACAGUUGAGCGAUUUGAAGUUUGAAAUGGAGAAACUGAAAACAAAAACCUCAGUCCUGAAGACCGAGUGAUUCUUCCAGACUUCUGCCAGUGUGUGAUGAUCUUUUAGACUCAGAUGAUGACGCAUUUCCCAGGAAGGGACAAGUUUGUGAUGAUCCUGCCAACUGCCCCAGCACCUUGUUAGAUGUGGAUGACAUCAAUACCUGCCACAGCCGGAAUCCUGC
ensembl:lncRNA